rnacentral:rRNA from 1 species
AGGGCACCACCAGGAGUGGAGCCUGCGGCUUAAUUUGACUCAACACGGGAAAACUCACCCGGCCCGGACACUGGAAGGAUUGACAGAUUGAGAGCUCUUUCUUGAUUCAGUGGGUGGUGGUGCAUGGCCGUUCUUAGUUGGUGGAGUGAUUUGUCUGGUUAAUUCCGAUAACGAACGAGACUCUAGCCUACUAAAUAGAUCGUCGGCUUACAAACGCCGGCGAGACUUCUUAGAGGGACAGGCGGUGAUUCAACCGCACGAAACAGAGCAAUAACAGGUCUGUGAUGCCCUUAGAUGUCCGGGGCCGCACGCGCGCUACACUGAAGUGAUCAGCGUGCUUUUUCAACCUACCCUGUCAAGAGUGGGGAACCCAAUGAACCUUCUUCGUGAUUGGGAUAGGGGAUUGUAAUUAUUCCCCUUGAACGAGGAAUUCCCAGUAAGCGCGAGUCAUAAGCUCGCGUUGAUUACGUCCCUGCCCUUUGUACACACCGCCCGUCGCUACUACCGAUUGAAUGUUUU